rnacentral:tRNA from 1 species
GGAAGGAAGGCUCAGUGGUUAAAGCAUUUAGCCUAGAAUUUGGCAGACCUGGGCUUAAUUCCCUGUCCUGCCA